rnacentral:rRNA from 1 species
CAGUCGCCGCGGUAAUACGUAGGGUGCGAGCGUUAAUCGGAAUUACUGGGCGUAAAGCGUGCGCAGGCGGUUGUGUAAGACAGGUGUGAAAUCCCCGGGCUUAACCUGGGAACUGCGCUUGUGACUGCACAGCUAGAGUAUGGCAGAGGGGGGUGGAAUUCCACGUGUAGCAGUGAAAUGCGUAGAGAUGUGGAGGAAUACCGAUGGCGAAGGCAGCCCCCUGGGAUAGCACUGACGUUCAUGCCCGAAAGCGUGGGUAGCAAACAGGAUUAGAUACCCCGUAGUCCCUGUCUCUUAACAC